UGAAUCAGGUCUACAUUUAUUCGAGUGGUAGGCAAUUUGCACAACGGUUAAUAUUUGGAUAUAAAAAGUAUGGCUACUUAAGGAAAUAUUUAUGUGGAUAAUUUGUCACGUGAGCGAUGUAAAACUUGAUCCUUAGAUUGGGAGACCAAUUGUGUAUGGGUUGGCCGCAAAAAGGAGAGUAUGGAGUUGGAAGAAAUGUGGAAGGAUGAACUUUCAAUGAUAUAUGGAUGUCACUUUGUUUAUGAUUUAUGAAGUGACUUCAAGGUUAUUAAAUUUUAUGUGUCUGUUAAAUCAAAGAGGACUUGCAUCUAUAACGUUGGAUGUGGCAGGGCGUGCUACACCAACCGGACUGAGUUUAUGUUACUUUUAGUAAAUUGUAAAUGUAACAUUAUUUGUCAUUUUCUUGAUGUUUUUAUACGCAUCUUAUAAAGAAAACUUCAUACCUAAUAAUACAAUCCACUUUGCUACUAAUUUAUGUAAUGUUACUUUAUUUGCAUUAGUUUUAUUGAUACAUUUGUGAUUGAUGUAAUUUAAAUUUUCC